ACGGACUCCUACGGGAGGCAGCAGUGGGGAAUAUUGCACAAAUGGGCGGAAGCCUGAUGCAGCGACGCCGCGUGAGGGAUGACGGCCUUCGGGUUGUAAACCUCUUUCAGUAGGGAAGAAGCGAGAGUGACGGUACCUGCAAGAAGAAGCGCCGGCUAACUACGUGCCAGCAGCCGCGGUAAU
rnacentral:rRNA from 1 species